rnacentral:tRNA from 1 species
ACCAGGAUGGCAGAGAGGUUAAGGCGUUAGACUUAACAUCCAAUGGACAUAUGUCCUCGUGGUUUCGAACCCUACUCCUGGUA